GAGUUUGAUCAUGGCUCAGGACGAACGCUGGCGGCGUGCCUAACACAUGCAAGUCGAGCGAUGAAACCCUUCGGGGUGGAUUAGCGGCGGACGGGUGAGUAAAAAAAAAGUAACCUGCCUCAAAGAGGGGGAUAGCCUCCCGAAAGGGAGAUUAAUACCGCAUAACAUUAUUUCUUCGCAUGAAGAGAUAAUCAAAGGAGUAAUCCGCUUUGAGAUGGACCCGCGGCGCAUUAGCUAGUUGGUGAGGUAAUGGCUCACCAAGGCAACGAUGCGUAGCCGACCUGAGAGGGUGAUCGGCCACAUUGGAACUGAGAUACGGUCCAGACUCCUACGGGAGGCAGCAGUGGGGAAUAUUGCGCAAUGGGGGAAACCCUGACGCAGCAACGCCGCGUGGGUGAAGAAGG
rnacentral:rRNA from 1 species